rnacentral:rRNA from 1 species
CUACGGGUGGCACCAGUAACGAAUCUUCCGCAAUGCGCGAAAGCGUGACGGGGUAAUGCCGCGUGUGGGAUGAAGCCCUUCGGGGUGUAAACCACUGUCAGGGUUCACCAAAUAAAUGAGGAGACCCAAAGGAAGAGCCGGCUAACUCUGUGCCAGCAGCCGCGGUAAUACAGAGGGCUCAAGCGUUAAUCGGAAUCACUGGGCUUAAAGCGUUCGUAGGCGGACUUGUAGGCCCGUUGUGAAAUCCCACGGCUCAACCGUGGAAUUGCAGCGGGAACCAUAAGUCUUGAGACAGGUAGAGGUGGUCGGAACGAUAGGUGGAGCGGUGAAAUGCGUAGAUAUCUAUCGGAACGCCAAUGGAGAAAUCAGGCCACUGGGCCUGUUCUGACGCUGAGGAACGAAAGCGUGGGGAUCAAACGGGAUUAGAUACCCCGGUAGUC